rnacentral:rRNA from 1 species
AGUGAACGCUGGCGGUAGGCCUAACACAUGCAAGUCGAACGGCAGCACAGUAAGAGCUUGCUCUUACGGGUGGCGAGUGGCGGACGGGUGAGGAAUACAUCGGAAUCUACUUUUUCGUGGGGGAUAACGUAGGGAAACUUACGCUAAUACCGCAUACGACCUACGGGUGAAAGCAGGGGAUCUUCGGACCUUGCGCGAUUGAAUGAGCCGAUGUCGGAUUAGCUAGUUGGCGGGGUAAAGGCCCACCAAGGCGACGAUCCGUAGCUGGUCUGAGAGGAUGGUCGGCCACACUGGAACUGGGACGCGGUCCAGACUCCUACGGGAGGCAGCAGUGGGGAAUAUUGGACAAUGGGCGCAAGCCUGAUCCAGCCAUACCGCGUGGGUGAAGAAGGCCUUCGGGUUGUAAAGCCCUUUUGUUGGGAAAGAAAAGCAGCAGGUUAAUACCCCGCUGUUCUGACGGUACCCAAAGAAUAAGCACCGGCUAACUUCGUG